rnacentral:rRNA from 1 species
UGGGGAAUUUUGGACAAUGGGCGAAAGCCUGAUCCAGCAAUGCCGCGUGUGUGAAGAAGGCCUUCGGGUUGUAAAGCACUUUUUGCUCCGGGAAAGAAAUCCUUGGCUCUAAUACAGUCGGGGGAUGACGGUACCGGAAGAAUAAGCACCGGCUAACUACGUGCCAGCAGCCGCGGUAAUACGUAGGGUGCAAGCGUUAAUCGGAAUUACUGGGCGUAAAGCGUGCGCAGGCGGUUUGCUAAGACCGAUGUGAAAUCCCCGGGCUCAACCUGGGAACUGCAUUGGUGACUGGCAGGCUAGAGUAUGGCAGAGGGGGGUAGAAUUCCACGUGUAGCAGUGAAAUGCGUAGAGAUGUGGAGGAAUACCGAUGGCGAAGGCAGCCCCCUGGGCCAAUACUGACGCUCAUGCACGAAAGCGUGGGGAGCAAACAGGAUUAGAUACCCUGGUAGUCCACGCCCUAAACGAUGUCAACUAGUUGUUGGGGAUUCAUUUCCUUAGUAACGUAGCUAACGCGUGAAGUUGACCGCCUGGGGAGUACGGUCGCAAGAUUAAAACUCAAAUGAAUUGACGGGGUCAUAGCUGUUUCCU